rnacentral:lncRNA from 1 species
GGGUGUAUGUGCGAUCGAGAGAAAGGGGCAGGGGAGAAACCCUUCAUCCAAAAAUCCUACAAAUUGACCAAAUUGAGAAGGUUCAGAGCUGAAUUCCAAAUGCAUGAGUUAGGAAUGUUCAUCCCCUAAGUGAAUUUCAUAUCAAGAUUUAAAGAAGGCGGCUCGAGUCAACCGGGACGCAAACAAGACAAGACAAAGUCGAACCGUAUGAAUGGGUCGUAAAUAUUCCUUUGGAGCAAAUCUUGGACCGGAGGAACGAACACACAUUGCGCCAUUUAAUAGCUUCCGCUCGUCAAGUUCUAAAGGGUGAUAGUGUCUUUUUGUUAAUGGAUGUUUUUAUUUAUUUAUGAUGUAAUGGUUAUAAUUUUUAUGUCUUUUGGAACGUGUCGUUGAAUUUAGUAUUUGAAUGAUGAUUGUUAAAAGCAGAGAAUCACUUAUAGUACGAACGGGUCAUGCCCAAUUUUUGU